UACGUAGGGGGCAAGCGUUGUCCGGAUUUAUUGGGCGUAAAGCGCGUGUAGGCGGCCAGAAAAGUCCGCUGUGAAAACUCGAGGCUCAACUUCGAGCUGUCGGUGGAAACUUUCUGGCUAGAGUCCGGAAGAGGAGAAUGGAAUUCCUGGUGUAGCGGUGAAAUGCGCAGAUAUCAGGAAGAACACCCGUGGCUAAGGCGGUUCUCUAGUACGGUACUGACGCUGAGACGCGAAAGCGUGGGGAGCGAACAGG
rnacentral:rRNA from 1 species